rnacentral:rRNA from 1 species
AGUGGCGGACGGGUGAGUAACGCGUGAGGAUCUGCCUUCAGGUCGGGGACAACAGUUGGAAACGACUGCUAAUACCCGAUGUGCAGCAAUGUGAAAGAUUUAUUGCCUGAAGAUGAGCUCGCGUCUGAUUAGCUAGUAGGUGUGGUAAUGGCGCACCUAGGCGACGAUCAGUAACUGGUCUGAGAGGAUGACCAGUCACACUGGGACUGAGACACGGCCCAGACUCCUACGGGAGGCAGCAGUGGGGAAUUUUCCGCAAUGGGCGAAAGCCUGACGGAGCAAUACCACGUGAGGGACGACGGCUUUUGGGUUGUAAACCUCUUUUCCCUGGGAAGAAGAUCUGACGGUACCAGGGGAAUCAGCAUCGGCUAACUUCGUGCCAGCAGCCGCGGUAAUACGAGGGAUGCAAGCGUUAUCCGGAAUUAUUGGGCGUAAAGCGUCCGCAGGUGGCUCUGUAAGUCUGUCGUUAAAGAAUGGAGCUUAACUCCAUACAGGCGAUGGAAACUACAAGGCUAGAGUUUGGUAGGGGUCACGGGAAUUCUUAGUGUAGCGGUGAAAUGCGUAGAUAUUAAGAAGAACACCAGCGGCGAAAGCGCGUGACUGGGCCAGUACUGACACUCAUGGACGAAAGCUAGGGGAGCGAAAGGGAUUAGAUACCCCUGUAGUCCUAGCCGUAAACGAUGAUAACUAGGUGUUGCUC